rnacentral:rRNA from 1 species
CCUACGGGAGGCAGCAGUGGGGAAUUUUGGACAAUGGGCGCAAGCCUGAUCCAGCAAUGCCGCGUGAGUGAAGAAGGCCUUCGGGUUGUAAAGCUCUUUUGUCAGGGAAGAAACGGCUGAGGUUAAUACCUUUGGCUAAUGACGGUACCUGAAGAAUAAGCACCGGCUAACUACGUGCCAGCAGCCGCGGUAAUACGUAGGGUGCAAGCGUUAAUCGGAAUUACUGGGCGUAAAGCGUGCGCAGGCGGUUUUGUAAGUCUGUCGUGAAAGCCCCGGGCUCAACCUGGGAAUUGCGAUGGAGACUGCAAGGCUUGAAUCUGGCAGAGGGGGGUAGAAUUCCACGUGUAGCAGUGAAAUGCGUAGAGAUGUGGAGGAACACCGAUGGCGAAGGCAGCCCCCUGGGUCAAGAUUGACGCUCAUGCACGAAAGCGUGGGGAGCAAACAGGAUUAGAUACCCUGGUAGUCCACGCCCUAAACGAUGUCUACUAGUUGUCGGGUUUUAAUUAACUUGGUAACGCAGCUAACGCGUGAAGUAGACCGCCUGGGGAGUACGGUCGCAAGAUUAAAACUCAAAAGAGAGUAGACGCGNGAGAGNGACGACGACGACGACGAGGGAGGAGG